GUAGCUUGCUACCCGCUGACGAGCGGCGGACGGGUGAGUAAUGCAUAGGAAUCUGCCCGAUAGUGGGGGAUAACCUGGGGAAACCCAGGCUAAUACCGCAUACGUCCUACGGGAGAAAGGGGGCUCCGGCUCCCGCUAUUGGAUGAGCCUAUGUCGGAUUAGCUAGUUGGUGAGGUAAAGGCUCACCAAGGCAACGAUCCGUAGCUGGUCUGAGAGGAUGAUCAGCCACAUCGGGACUGAGACACGGCCCGAACUCCUACGGGAGGCAGCAGUGGGGAAUAUUGGACAAUGGGGGAAACCCUGAUCCAGCCAUGCCGCGUGUGUGAAGAAGGCCCUCGGGUUGUAAAGCACUUUCAGCGAGGAAGAACGCCUAUCGGUUAAUAC
rnacentral:rRNA from 1 species